UACGUAGGAUGCAAGCGUUGUCCGGAAUUAUUGGGCGUAAAGCGAACGUAGGCGGCCUUUUAAGUUUGGUCUUAAAGACCAGGGCUCAACCCUGGGAAUGGACUGAAUACUGGGAGGCUAGAGGAUGUCAGAGGAAAGUGGAAUUCCAAGUGUAGCGGUGAAAUGCGUAGAUAUUUGGAGGAACACCAGUGGCGAAAGCGACUUUCUGGGACAUUUCUGACGCUGAGGUUCGAAAGCUCGGGGAGCAAACAGG
rnacentral:misc_RNA from 1 species